AGAUCUACAACACUUGAAGACAAAUCUGUUGGUGAUCACCUGGUUCGCAUCAAAGUUCUUGUUGAUGCGCUUGCUUCAGUAGGAGAUCCAGUUCUAGAUCAACAAUACAUUGAUGUGAUUCUUGAAGGUCUUCCUCAAGACUUUGUCUCUGUUAUUUCAGUCAUUGAAAGCAAGUUUGAUUCAAUAGAACUUGAAGAAGUUGAAGCUCUACUUCUUGCUCAUGAGAUGAGAUUCAACAAGUAUAAGAAACACUCUCAAACGGAGGUGGCUGCCUUGGUGAAUCUCACUCAAGCUAAUUCUCAAUCUGAAACUGAUAACUCCAA